rnacentral:rRNA from 1 species
AGAGUUUGAUCAUGGCUCAGAACGAACGCUGGCGGCAGGCUUAACACAUGCAAGUCGAACGGGCGUGAGCGAUCACGUCAGUGGCAGACGGGUGAGUAACGCGUGGGAACAUACCCUCCGGUUCGGAAUAACUCAGGGAAACUUGAGCUAAUACCGGAUACGGCUUAGCGGCGAAAGAUUGAUUUGCCGGAGGAUUGGCC